rnacentral:rRNA from 1 species
UACAUGAGUGACAAGCGUUAUCCGUAAUAAUUGGGCGUAAAGAAUGCGUAGAUUGUAAAAAGUAGUUAUAAUUAACUAUAAUGGUUAACCAGGUUUAAUUAUAAUACCUUUUUACUUGAGUUUUAAAUAUGAAAAUAAUAUUUAUAAAUUAGUGAUAAAAUACAGCGAGUUUAUAAUUAUUCUCUAAAGUGAAAACAAUUUUCUUAUUAUAACUGACAUUGAUGCAUUAAAGCAUGGGGAUCCAAUAGG